GCAGGCCUAUCUUUUCUUUCUCCACAAAUUGCUGGAUCACUGGAGGGUGCCGAGGGUCAACCUCCAGAUACAGAAGUCUGGCGAGAUCUCGCCAGUCUUACCGAAGGAUCUCAGGUUCCAGGGAUGCCAUGUCCUGGGAGAACAGCUGUCCAUGUCGAAGACAGACUGCAGAAGCCUGAUCAAACAGAGGAUUUGCUGAUAUGGAAAGAGGACUCCCAACCACAAUAAAGACCCAAUUCUCUACCAUGAAGGCGCAACAAAGACUAAUGCCUGGGACUCCUCACUACCCACUCUAGCCCAG